UGGUACAAUGGUUGAACGUUUGGCUGCUAACCAAAAGGCUGGAGGUUCAAACCACC
rnacentral:tRNA from 1 species